rnacentral:rRNA from 1 species
AUGACAGAUAACAUAAAGAAGCUUUGGAGGGAGUCUAGCGUAGACAAGGCCAAACCGUUCUUUCCGCUGCAUAUUGAUGGUUUCUCUUGCGAGUUUGUGCGGACUUAUCAUUGCCGGGAGGAUGGUGUGAUUGAAAUGUUGGAUUACAGCCACGAAGACAUUCUUGACAUUAGGAAGACUUUGCUGUAUACCUGCGCAACUAGCGAUGUGUUUGAUGUUGAAUUCCGGGGUGACUGGCUGGAUCUUGGUGAGCACGACUACAGGAUCUUUGGCAGCCAGUUCUCGGAGCUCAAGCGCGUAGCUAUUGAUCUUAGCCAGGGCCGUUCUCCCGAAAAGACAAGAUCUGGUGUUAUGAAGGGGUGGUUGGGAGCUCUGAAAGGUUCUACGGCUGCUUGUGCAGAGAGCCCCACUACACCCAAGAAUCCCAUUGUGGAAUUGAUAGACAGCGAUCAUGAUGCGUUUGACAAGAUUGCUGGCAUGGGAAGAGUCACCAGGAGCGCUGCUGCCAAAGGUUUAUCUCCCCUUGUUGGAAUAGUGGCUCGUAGAGCUAGUGGUGCUAGGAAGGAUCCUGCUUUGGAUUCUGGCAAUGUUCAGCUUCAGCCUCAUAAUUUCCCUCAUAUGGACAAGGCUCGCAAGUUGUAUAAUAUGUUGCUUAGUGAUGAACCAUGUGAGACGUAUGCUGAGAAUACAUUCUCAAUGAUACCUCAGCCUGAUGAUAGUGUAACUAGCUUCACUGGGAAACGCAUCUAG